UGUUCUAAACUGCUUCUCUUGUCAUGGGUUUUCAAAUUUCUGAUGUUUUCUUAUGUCCGGUUGUGCCGGUUGAAGUGAUGUGAAAAAUUUUGCAUGGCAUGUUUGAGCAAUCUCGGUUAACAAUAGGAUUGAGUGGGUAUUGUGAGGAGAUGAUGGUAUGUGAUGACCUGCCCUGAGUUUUUGGGCUACAGGACAUGAUGGGGCCUAGAGAAGGAUGAAAAACUAUUCUCAUUUCUGUCACAACAUGUGCAGCCUUCUGUCAAAGAUUAGACAAAGGUUUUUAGACUGGUGUCAUGGCAUCAAAACAGCUGCUGGCACGCAGGCUACGAUGAAGAUAACCACGAGCCAUCGAUCAUGAAGAUCAAUGCUGAGCCAUAUGAUAUCUGCAGUCACUCAUGUUUAUUGGCCCAUCGGCAUCCAGCUUAUUUUCUAUCAGCAUAACAUAUCGCCCUUUGUUCACCCCACGAAGCAGUUCUUUGAUGGAAUAUCAGUCGUCGAUGGAAGUGCAAUGGCAGUGCUUGGGAACGUCACCAGAAACAGGACCCAGCAGUUCUCAGUCUCCUGAGAAGCUAUGGAAGGAACUUGGUUGAAACCCUUGUACGGUGCCAUAGAUUUCUUUAGAAGAUUCAUCAAAUGCACUGGUUGGCUCUUCAUCCCUCUCUGCCGCAGAUUUCUUUAGAAGAUUCUGUGCAGUACUUGUAUGGUAGCCUGAGUAAGGUGUUCUCGAUACGGUUCAGAACUGAACUGGCUCGAUUGUCUAACUGAACUAAUGUAACCAAAAGCACUACAACUUAUAAUGCUCCCAGAGCAAUGGGGCGUUUCUCUUUUA